rnacentral:misc_RNA from 1 species
UCCACAGAAGUGAUCUUCACAUUAAUUUGGAAAAAUUAGUCUUUCCUUGUCAGCGUCAAGUACGCACAAGGUCAAGCUUGCUUUUUUGUUUAUUGUAAGAUUACCUAAUUACUUACCUAACCAAAUCAUAAACAAAUUAAAUAUUCAUUAAAAUACAAUCUUUUUUCUUGUCAUUAACAAGUUCAAUGAAAAACAAAAUCAUCUCUCGAAGUAAUCCCUUCAGGACACAGUAGAAUUUCUUGGAACCACAGUUUAUAGGAGUUUGACACCAGCUCCUUUCACAGAAUCCAUCACAGCUUUCACCUUUCCAUGAUACUUCUGUUCUCUUUUC